UCUGGGAGAGUUUAUAGUCCUGAGAGUUGAACACUGGAUGACUGACAGCUGUCCUUCAUGACAACAGAAGACACAGAAAUCCUCCUCAUCAAAAACAUGACUUUGAUCUCCGUCCUCAUCUGGACUCUCCUCUGCUGCUGCUUCACAGAGUCCAGAGGCCAGGUCACAGUGACUCAGUCUGGAGCAGUGAGCUCUGCUCUGGGACGCUCCGUCACCAUCACAUGCAGGACCAGUCAGAACGUUUAUAAUAAUGACUUUUUAGCCUGGUACCAACAGAAAGAUGGAGAAACUCCUAAACUGCUUAUCUAUAGAGCAACUUCUCGACAAUCAGGGACUCCAGGUCGUUUUACAGGCAGUGGAUCAAACUCUGACUUCACUCUGACCAUCAGUGGAGUCCAGACUGAAGAUGCAGCAGUUUACUACUGUCAGAGUUAUCAUAGCAUCAACAGUCAGUGGUUGUUCACACAGUGAAAAAGCGUCGUACAAAAACCUCCCUCAGUCAGACUGAACAGAAACUGAACUGACUGCUGCAGCUGGAAGCUACUGCAGAGACUGAUACACUUCACUGAGGACACACACACACACACACACACACACAAAAUGGAAUUAUCAUUAAAAAAAGAAAUUACAAAUAAUUUUUCGUCCUACACAAACAGUUUCCUUAUAAAGAACUAAUGGACAGUUAAAGACCACAUUAGGAUAUGAUCACAUUUUUGUCAUAACUAACAAACACAUUUUACUCAUUAAAGAGACAAUGAACCAGA